rnacentral:sRNA from 1 species
UCAUGAUGACGGGAACAGAGACAAGAUACUCCCUCGGAUUAUUCUCGAUACCAAAAGCAGGACACAUUGUGAGUUCACCA